GAUGAACGCUGGCGGCGUGCUUAACACAUGCAAGUCGAACGAAGCGAUUUUCUUGCUUGCAAGAGAAUUGACUUAGUGGCGGACGGGUGAGUAACGCGUGGGUAACCUGCCUCAUACAGGGGGAUAACAGUUGGAAACGACUGCUAACACCGCAUAACCCGCUGGUAUCGCAUGAUACUGACGGAAAAUAUUUAUAGGUAUGAGAUGGGCCCGCGUCUGAUUAGCUAGUUGGUAAGGUAAUGGCUUACCAAGGCAACGAUCAGUAGCCGACUUGAGAGAGUGAUCGGCCACAUUGGGACUGAGACACGGCCCAAACUCCUACGGGAGGCAGCAGUGGGGAAUAUUGGACAAUGGGGGAAACCCUGAUCCAGCGACGCCGCGUGAGUGAAGAAGUAUUUCGGUAUGUAAAGCUCUAUCAGCAGGGAAGAUAAUGACAGUACCUGACUAAGAAGCCCCGGCUAACUACGUGCCAGCAGCCGCAGUAAAAC
rnacentral:rRNA from 1 species